CGCCCGCGCCCCCCCGCUCCGGCGUGCUGGCCGCCGCCGUGCUCAGCGCCGGCAACGUGCUCAACUACCUGGACCGCUACACCGUGGCGGGUGUACUGCUAGACAUCCAGCAGCAUUUUGGAGUCAAAGACAGUGGAGCUGGCUUGCUACAAACAGUUUUUAUCUGUAGUUUCAUGGUGGCAGCCCCUAUAUUUGGUUACCUUGGUGACCGUUUCAACCGAAAGAUCAUUCUCAGCUGUGGGAUCUUCUUCUGGUCAGCUGUCACCUUUUCAAGCUCCUUCAUCACUGAGCAGUACUUCUGGCUCCUUGUUCUCUCACGAGGUUUGGUUGGCAUUGGUGAAGCCAGUUAUUCCACCAUCGCUCCCACCAUCAUAGGAGACCUUUUUACCAAAAACACCAGGACCCUCAUGCUGUCCGUCUUCUACUUUGCGAUCCCUCUGGGCAGUGGUUUAGGAUACAUCACUGGAUCAAGUGUGAAGCAGGUAGCAGGAGACUGGCACUGGGCAUUGCGGGUAUCUCCACUGCUGGGUAUGAUCACAGGGACGCUCAUCUUAAUAUUGGUACCUGCUGCUAAAAGAGGCAACGUUGAACAGCUGGGGGGACAGCUGAAGGCUAGGACCUCGUGGCUAAGAGAUAUGAAGGCAUUGUUCAGAAACCGCAGCUAUGUGUUCUCGUCACUGGCCACCUCGGCCGUCUCCUUCGCCACAGGGGCGCUGGGCAUGUGGAUCCCCCUCUACCUUCACAGAGCACAGGUGGUGCAGAAGACAGUGGAGACCUGCAGUUCCCAGCCCUGUAGCACCAAGGACAGUUUGAUCUUUGGAGCAAUCACAUGCUUCACAGGCUUUCUGGGUGUGAUCACAGGGGCUGGUGCAACCAAAUGGUGCCGCUUAAAAACACAACGAGCUGAUCCUCUCGUCUGUGCUGUGGGCAUGCUGGGUUCGGCCAUCUUCAUCUGUCUGAUCUUCGUCGCUGCUAAGAGCAGUAUUGUGGGAGCCUAUAUUUGCAUUUUUAUCGGUGAAACUCUUCUGUUUUCAAACUGGGCUAUCACAGCAGACAUACUGAUGUACGUGGUCAUUCCAACACGCCGUGCAACCGCAGUGGCCUUGCAGAGCUUCACCUCGCACCUUCUGGGAGACGCUGGCAGCCCCUACCUGAUCGGAUUUAUCUCCGACCUGAUCCGACAGAGCACGAAGGAGUCCCCGCUCUGGGAGUUCCUCAGCCUGGGCUAUGCCCUCAUGCUCUGCCCCUUUGUCAUCGUCCUGGGAGGCAUGUUCUUCCUGGCCACAGCCCUCUUCUUCCUAAGUGACCGAGCCAAAGCUGAACAACAUAAAGAAACUGAUUCGGACCACCUCACUGUUGGCAACUACAGUAACUCAGAAGACGCUUCCACAUGACACACACAGUUUUGGGGGUGAAUCAACUCAUGAUGCCACCAGCCUCUGUGAAAGUCUGAGAUGCUGAUACAAAGGACUCCGGCUUCCAUGCUGACGGCCCCAGCUGGGAACAAUGCACCAGUACCAGACACAAGCAGGACCUCCGUGACGCAUCCAAAGUCCACUCCAACACCAAACCAAUCCCUUUGUUCUUACCUCCAGGGUCAAGCUAGAAGAGGUGACCAGGAGUGGCCUGGAUCCCAGUGCUUGUGCACACAAGAACACUGAUGGGUUUCCCCAGACUGCCAUACUUUGGAAGGGGAUGCCUGCGGGACCCACUCCUGCACUACACCCCAGCGAGCGACUGUAGAUUGUGUAUACGAUUUUAGAGUUAGCCAGUGAAGAAGUCCACAUUAUCUACAGGGCAGCUGCUGCUCAAUGCUGCCUGCUAUGUCAGCGCGACCACCCCUUUGGCCAGAGACGGUGCAAUGGUGGGGACCUCUUCUGUACAUCACGGCCUCUCGCUCGACACUAAAGGCUCAACCCAGAUUUUUAGUAUUAUUUAAACAUCCUCAGAUGCUUUCUCUCUGCUGAAGACGUCACAUAUCAGAUCUCUAUCUCUAUAGCUAGAUAAAUAGUUUUAUUUAAACUUUGGGCAUCUGAAGCGGCCAGUGCAAUGGCAGGACAUGGAAAGCUCCACUUCUCUGCGCAUCUUGGCACUGCAGCCUUGGUUCCAAAGAGGGCUCCAUGGUAGCACUCCCAAAAGGCGGCAGAGACAUUCACGCAACAGCACUUUGCUUAUGGGAGCAGCCCUGGGGCUGGCACAGGGCUGUAUCGCUGCUGGAAGGAGAAGUCUCUCACUGCACCAGGUGGGACUGUUAUGGCAAGGCCAGGAAAGUCCUGGCCACUUGUAUGUAAUGGCUUUUUAUUUUGUUUAACCCGUUUUGUUUUACCCUGCACAGAAGGUUUACAGGCCUCUAAAAUACCAAAAUCCACAUGUGAAGGAACUACUGUACCCAGAGCCCGGUAUGGCAGUGCUGCUGCGCCAGUGAAGGUGUUGGGUCGUUUAUAUGAAUAUCAUACAUCGUUAGCUUAUUGCAGAUGCAAAUGAUUUGCUCCCAGUAUUUAUCCCUAUCCAGCAACUGCAUUUCUACAAGGAUGGUAGUGUGCAUAAACACUGUCCUUGUUUACUCCCCCUGUUGCAGUACUUAAGGUCACUUUGAUCUGUACAGUGGUGUGGCUGGCAUGGGUUUAAGUGACUGGUGUGAUGGGCUAAAAACAGAGCUUUAGCUAGUCACGGGCUCAUUUGUAUUUGGACCUCUCCGACCCAUCUUUGGUUCUCAAGUGACAGACUGGCAUGUUUACAGUGUGCGGGCGGGCGUGUUGCAGCUGUGGCAGGAGGAGAUCAGUACAAAUGGUCCCAAUAAAGGACGUGAGGUUGUCAGUGGCAACAGUUGUCCAACCACCUGGUUCAGGUCUCCUAAGUAGAUGCACUUUCCUUGAGUUUCCUUGCAUAUGCCCAGCACUUAAUUCUUUUGGAAACCAUACCUGAUUAGCAACGGAAUUGCCAACCCUGUUAGUUGGAUAUGGCUUUAAUAAUGUUACAAGCUAGCUGUCUGGAGAACAUGGCUUAGGUUUGUCCUCUCCAAUACAAUGAGGAGUCACUUUUAAUUGGCCAGUAUCUCCAAAGAGCACUGGUAUCUACAUAAAAAGCAGUUGGGGUCCACCCACACUUUCCACUUCCAAGCUCUGUAGCAACUUUGGCUUCCUUGCAGAAUACCCCUCCUGUAAUCCCAGCAGGGAGUCAGCAGCAGUUCCCAGCAGCACUUCCAUAUUUUUCAAGAUCAGCAUCGAUAGAGGGCUCACGGUUUCCUCCCUCUGCAGUUCUACAGGACUCUUCCUGAAAGGCAGCCCCUUCCCAGAUUACUUCAGUUGGCUUUAAAAAUAUGUUGUAGGUCAGGCAAACAAUUGGAGACAGGAAUCCAACCACUACUACUUGCUGGCCCCUAGGGAACUGCAAAUGCCACUCAAGUUCAGCUAAAAUAAUAAGCAAAGCAAAGUCGAAACAAUGCUUUAUGCUACCGUGUGCCGUUAUUUACUCUGGUCAGGGGAGGGAAGUGUCAGCGCUGCGGUCUGGCAGCCACAUGCCUGGCUUUGCAAGGAUGGGAAUUUCUCACUCUCAUUAAGCCGUUCCCUGUUGCACCGUAAAAGAAAACAAUUAGUCACUUAAUCUCGGAGGCCAAAAGGAAGAUUAGCAGCGUUUCCUCCGUUAUUGGCUGAAGUGCUUUACGGCACGGAGGGUAAGGCUGUAACUCGGAAACCGACUGUUCCAGCUAAUGCCUGUCAAAGGCAGGGCUUUGGCAUGUGCCGAGACUUCGUUCCCAUGGACUCGGUGGGGAUGAAGAGCCUAUAUGAUACACCUUCAUUUGGCAGUGUUUUCUUUCUUAUGCCAAACCUCUCUCCUCGGCAGAAAGGCAAAGCUACUUUGGAACGUGGUGACCGCACUUCCUAGAAACACGAAGCCAGGCAGCGAGACUUUUCGCAUACUUUUUCCUUGGUGUAAGUGAAUGGAGACUUAAUUCAGUGUCAGGGUCCACAGCCCAACCCCAGUGCCCCGUAAGUGCUUGGACCAGGAUUCAGGACCUACCAUAAAGCAGCCGGCUGGGAGAACCAAAGAUGGGUUGGACAAAGGUGACAGUCUGUAACAGCCCUUCUCUGCCUGCAGGUGAAGGGGCUUUGGCCUGGCAGCCACCUGUUUCUAGUCCCAGAUGGGCUCUUUCAGCUGUUCCCUUUCAAGCUUGUAAUGCAGAUCUGUUGUCUGAGAGGGAAACCAGAUGAUUCAGGUGAAGAGUCUCGGGUUCAGACCACAACUGAGAUUAACCAAGUCGAGUCCCACUCAGAAGAGGAGCAGGUUGCUAGAAGGGAGGUGAGGGGUGGAGAACCAUGCAUGCUCCUUCCUGGUGCCGUCAUGUGCCGGUGUCCCACCUCCCUGUUGUAAAGCUCUACAUGACGGUAAUCAACUAUCCUUCCCUCCCCCUGGCCCUGGGUGCAGCUUGCUAGGGGAGGAUCUCUGCUAGUGGCAGUUUGGGCAAAGCUCUCGAGUUCUUGGGGGUUUCCUGCCCAUGAGGAACUUCCAGAAAGUCAGAGCAGAACCACCAACCAACCCAGCAGCUGUCAUUGUACCAGGAUCCAGAUGGUCCAACAGGAUCCUGUCACUUAAAUAAGCCCAAACUGCAGAAGCCAUUAGCACUGCCUUGUGCAUGUCUCUAGUUUGCAGGCAUGUGUUCGUAAGCUGGCUUCUGCUGGUGUAAGGAGCUGCUGCAGGGAUGAGGGAGAGCCAUGCUUUCAUUUGUCUGCAGAGAUCUUGCUGAAUGCACCAGUCUCUAACCCCCCCGCUGGGAUCUGCACCACUUAUCCAUGGAGGCAGGGUUUUAUGAGCCCAGCUCAGGAUGGAAGCAGAACUUGUCAGCUGUGCAGCUCUGAGCUGCUUACACUCAUCACCUCGGUUUGGAAACACUUUGCUCCGAUUUACAUGCUUUAAGCAUCCGUCACAGUUCGGGGAAUGAGCUGGGGGCAGUUUCUGUAUUAGGCCCAUCUCAUUUACUGGAAUGUUUUUUUUUUUUAACCAAAUCAAAUGGGUCCCACCCACACUGGGUGGGGCAGGGGGCAGCUGUGAAGCUGUCUCCAGCACGUUAGUGAUGCUGCAUUUCUGGUGAGGGUCCUGGGUUGGCCCUGAAGGAUGUUUAGCCAUUCAAACUAGAGACCAGGUUGGGAACACCUUAGCCAGGACCUAACUCCUUCCACAUCAGCUUGGGUCAAGCUGCCGCAGAGUACACCCUGCUGCCUCCCUCCCUUCCCGGGGGGGGCUCAGGCCAGACCCACCACCACUCAGGGCUGUGACUGCAUCUUCCUCAGUGACCUUCAGCUCCCGGUCUUCAGCCUGUCAGCAGUAAUGCUUUCCAGCAGGGCACAUGCUCUCCUUAGCAUCUCUGGCUGCUGUGGCAUUUCCAGCAUAGGGGCUGAAGAAGGGGUGCUGGCCUGCUGCAUUCAUCAGCAGCAUGGGGUGGGGCUCACGAGGAGCCUGGGGAGGGUUAUGAUGCCCCCAGCCAGGCCAGCUGUUUGCAGCAGGGCGAGUGCUUCAUUCUGCUUCACUCCUGAAAGCUUUACCCAAAAGCAUUCCUCCUCUGCUGCCAACAGCUGCCUUGGCACCCGGGCAGCCACUGCUGAGGCAGCAGGGCUGCUUCUGCACAGGGAGAGGGGAAAGAGCUGGUUCAAAGCAGCCAGACACCUGCAAACACUGCAACCAAAGUGCAGAGCUGUUCCCCACCACUGUCAUGCCUCCUGAGCCUGUACUCCCAGGGCCUGGCCUGUUCAAACCCACUGCCUGCUUGCCUGCGUGAAGGCUGAAGGGCUGGAUCCAGGAGCUGCUUGUCUCAGUCACGUACCAGCCAUGAGGGGAACCUCAGAGCAGUGCAAGCUGCUGGCUAAUCAAAGUGGCCACCAUCUGGCACGCUGAAGCCCCUGGUUAUCUGGUUCUCCUCCGUUGACUUUCUUGGUUUGUAAACCAGCACUUACAAUCACUGUUACCGCGCGAGGUCCAGGGUCUGCCUAUGAUUUCUUGUUAUACAAGGGAGAAGUAUGAAAUAGUUUUCUGAUUUCUUUCAGAAGCAAAUUACUAUUUUAUUUUUUAAGAGCAGCUGAUUGCAAAUCUCAGAGUAUAAGAAGAGAGAAAUAAAGCCAAAUAUAUACCUUUAUGUAAAUUAACGAAUAAAUGUAUUUAAAACCUACCUCCUGGCUCUUGUC